GUCCCUGUAGUGCAAUGGAUAGCAUGUUGGACCUCUAAUUCAAAGGUCGUGGUUUUGAAUCCCAGCUGGGAUG
rnacentral:tRNA from 1 species